rnacentral:rRNA from 1 species
AUUGAACGCUGGCGGCAUGCUUUACACAUGCAAGUCGGACGGCAGCACAGAGAAGCUUGCUUCUUGGGUGGCGAGUGGCGAACGGGUGAGUAAUAUAUCGGAACGUACCGAGUAAUGGGGGAUAACUAAUCGAAAGAUUAGCUAAUACCGCAUAUUCUCUGAGGAGGAAAGCAGGGGACCUUCGGGCCUUGCGUUAUUCGAGCGGCCGAUAUCUGAUUAGCUAGUUGGUGGGGUAAAGGCCUACCAAGGCGACGAUCAGUAGCGGGUCUGAGAGGAUGAUCCGCCACACUGGGACUGAGACACGGCCCAGACUCCUACGGGAGGCAGCAGUGGGGAAUUUUGGACAAUGGGCGCAAGCCUGAUCCAGCCAUGCCGCGUGUCUGAAGAAGGCCUUCGGGUUGUAAAGGACUUUUGUCAGGGAAGAAAAGGCUGUUGCUAAGACCGACAGCUGAUGACGGGACCUGAAGAAUAAGCACCGGCGAACUACGU